rnacentral:rRNA from 1 species
GAUGAACGCUGGCGGCGUGCCUAAUACAUGCAAGUCGAGCGAACAGACGAGGCGCUUGCUCCGCUGACGUUAGCGGCGGACGGGAGAGUAACACGUGGAUAAUCUACUUAUAAGACUGGGAUAACUUCGGGAAACCGGAGCUAAUACCGGAUAAUCUACUGAACCGCAUGGUUCAAUAGUGAAAGACGGUUUUGCUGUCACUUAUAGAUGGUUCCGGGCUGCAUUAGCUAGUUGUUAAGGUAACGGCUUAUCAAGGCGACGAUGCGUAGCCGACCUGAGGGGGUGAUCGGCCACACUGGAGCGGAGACACGGACCAGGCGCCUACGGGAGGGAGCAGAAGGGAAUCGUCCGCAAUGGGCGAAAGCCUGACGGAGCAACGCCGCGCGAGUGAUGAAGGUCUUCGGAGCGUAAAACUCGGUUAUGGGGGAAGAACAGAUGUGUAAGUAGCUAUAGACGGCUUGACGGUAACUAAUCAGAAAGCCACGGCUAACUACGUG